GCCCGCACGUACGUCGUCGGCGAUCCGAGGCCGGGGGCGGCUCCCGAGGCCGGCGGGGCCGAGGGUCCCACCUCCGCUCGGAGGAAGCGCCGCCUCCCCGCCGUCUAGGGCCCUCGCCAAGUGGCUGCUAACAAAGCCCAGGGCCCUGCUGGGGGUAGUUGAGUGACAAAGUCGUGUCUGCUCUGCCCGCUCUCGCGGCUGCACGUUUCUCCACUCGUCCCGCGAAGCCGGAGCUGACAAGGCGGGAAAGUCACCGGCCGGAGCGUGGCAGGCCCGGGGUCACGUCUGGAGGCUGCCAUGUACUUGAAAGCCCCUUUGUGAAUUCAGCUAACCCUAAUUCUCCAGACAGAGUUGGAAAUUCACGAUCCAUCAACAAAAACCAGCCCCAACUGAGUCAGCCCGCGAGUUCUGCCCUCCUCUGCUACCUGCCUUGUUGGCACACCUGCCACUUUAACCAAUUCUGAGUAGAAAGAGGAGGAACGGGCCAAAUCCAUUCUGUACACUAACAGGUGACUUCAUUGGGAAAAUGCAGACGCUACCGAGGACCAACUGUGCUUCAGCCACUGGGCUUACAAACACAAAACUGCCCUGAUGAUCUACCCAAUAAAGAUGAAUGUGAAACACUCA